rnacentral:rRNA from 1 species
CGAAACCGCGAGGUCAAGCAAAUCCCAUAAAGUUGUUCUCAGUUCGGAUUGUAGUCUGCAACUCGACUACAUGAAGCUGGAAUCGCUAGUAAUCGUAGAUCAGCAUGCUACGGUGAAUACGUUCCCGGGUCUUGUACACACCGCCCGUCACACCACGAGAGUUUGUAACACCCGAAGCCGGUGGAGUAACCUUUUAGGAGCUAGCCGUCGAAGGUGGGACAAAUGAUUGGGGUGAAGUCGUAACAAGGUAGCCGUAUCGGAAGGUGCGGCUGGAUCACCUCCUUU